rnacentral:rRNA from 1 species
UACGUAGGGGGCAAGCGUUGUCCGGAUUUAUUGGGCGUAAAGAGCGUGUAGGCGGUUUGGUAGGUCCGCUGUGAAAACUCGAGGCUCAACCUCGAGACGUCGGUUGAAACCGUAUGGCUAGAGUCCGGAAGAGGAGAGUGGAAUUCCCGGUGUAGCGGUGAAAUGCGCAGAUAUCAGGAGGAACACCGGUGGCGAAGGCGGUUCUCUGGGCCUUACCUGACGCUGAGGAGCGAAAGCGUGGGGAGCAAACAGG